rnacentral:rRNA from 1 species
AGCGUACACGGUGGAUGCCUUGGCAGUCAGAGGCGAUGAAAGACGUAGUAACUUGCGAUAAGCCCAGAUUAGGUAGUAACAACCAUUUGAGUCUGGGAUUUCUGAAUGGGGAAACCCACGUGCAUAAGCACGUAUCCUUACCUGAAUACAUAGGGUAAGGAGGCGAACCGGGGGAACUGAAACAUCUAAGUACCCCGAGGAAAAGAAAUCAACCGAGAUUCCGAAAGUAGCGGCGAGCGAAAUUGGACUAGCCCUUAAGCUUUACACGUGUUAGACGAACGGUCUGGAAAGUCCGACGAUACAGGGUGAUAGUCCCGUAGUUGACGACGUGUGUUCAGUGAAAUCGAGUAGGGCGGGACACGUGAUAUCCUGUCUGAAUAUGGGGGGACCAUCCUCCAAGGCUAAAUACUACUGACUGACCGAUAGUGAACCAGUACCGUGAGGGAAAGGCGAAAAGAACCCCUGUGAGGGGAGUGAAAUAGAACCUGAAACCGUGUACGUACAAGCAGUAGGAGCAGGCUUUGUCCUGUGACUGCGUACCUUUUGUAUAAUGGGUCAGCGACUUAUAUUCAGUGGCAAGGUUAACCAUCUAGGGGAGCCGUAGGGAAACCGAGUCUUAACUGGGCGUUCAGUCUCUGGAUAUAGACCCGAAACCAGGUGAUCUAGCCAUGGGCAGGUUGAAGGUUGAGUAACAUCAACUGGAGGACCGAACCGACUAAUGUUGAAAAAUUAGCGGAUGACUUGUGGCUAGGGGUGAAAGGCCAAUCAAACCUGGAGAUAGCUGGUUCUCCCCGAAAGCUAUUUAGGUAGCGCCUCGGACGAAUACUACUGGGGGUAGAGCACUGUUAAGGCUAGGGGGUCAUCCCGACUUACCAACCCUUUGCAAACUCCGAAUACCAGUAAGUACUAUCCGGGAGACACACGGCGGGUGCUAACGUCCGUCGUGGAGAGGGAAACAACCCAGACCGCCAGCUAAGGUCCCAAAUUACUACUAAGUGGGAAACGAUGUGGGAAGGCUCAGACAGCCAGGAUGUUGGCUUAGAAGCAGCCAUCAUUUAAAGAAAGCGUAAUAGCUCACUGGUCGAGUCGGCCUGCGCGGAAGAUGUAACGGGGCUAAGUAGUAAACCGAAGCUGCGGCAAUGUGCUUUUGCACAUUGGGUAGGGGAGCGUUCUGUAAGCGGUUGAAGGUGUGUGGUAACGCAUGCUGGACGUAUCAGAAGUGCGAAUGCUGACAUGAGUAACGAUAAAGGGGGUGAAAAACCUCCUCGCCGGAAGACCAAGGGUUCCUGUCCAACGUUAAUCGGGGCAGGGUAAGUCGACCCCUAAGGCGAGGCCGAAAGGCGUAGUCGAUGGGAAACGGGUUAAUAUUCCCGUACUUCUUACAAUUGCGAUGGGGGGACGGAGAAGGCUAGGUGGGCCUGGCGACGGUUGUCCAGGUUCAAGUGCGUAGGCUUAAGAGUUAGGUAAAUCCGGCUCUUUUUAAGGCUGAGACACGACGUCGAGCAUCUACGGAUGUGAAGUCAUUGAUGCCAUGCUUCCAGGAAAAGCCUCUAAGCUUCAGAUUGUAAGGAAUCGUACCCCAAACCGACACAGGUGGUCGGGUAGAGAAUACCAAGGCGCUUGAGAGAACUCGGGUGAAGGAACUAGGCAAAAUGGUACCGUAACUUCGGGAGAAGGUACGCUCUCGACGGUGAAGUCCCUCGCGGAUGGAGCUAUUGAGAGUCGCAGAUACCAGGUGGCUGCAACUGUUUAUUAAAAACACAGCACUGUGCAAAAUCGUAAGAUGACGUAUACGGUGUGACGCCUGCCCGGUGCCGGAAGGUUAAUUGAUGGGGUUAGACUUCGGUCGAAGCUCUUGAUCGAAGCCCCGGUAAACGGCGGCCGUAACUAUAACGGUCCUAAGGUAGCGAAAUUCCUUGUCGGGUAAGUUCCGACCUGCACGAAUGGCGUAAUGAUGGCCACGCUGUCUCCACCCGAGACUCAGUGAAAUUGAAAUCGCUGUGAAGAUGCAGUGUACCCGCGGCUAGACGGAAAGACCCCGUGAACCUUUACUACAGCUUGGCACUGAACAUUGACCCUACAUGUGUAGGAUAGGUGGGAGGCUUUGAAGCACGUACGCCAGUAUGUGUGGAGCCGUCCUUGAAAUACCACCCUUGUAGUGUUGAUGUUCUAACGUCGACCCCUUAUCGGGGUUGCGGACAGUGCCUGGUGGGUAGUUUGACUGGGGCGGUCUCCUCCCAAAGAGUAACGGAGGAGCACGAAGGUGGGCUAAUCACGGUUGGACAUCGUGAGGUUAGUGCAAUGGCAUAAGCCCGCUUGACUGCGAGAAUGACAAUUCGAGCAGGUGCGAAAGCAGGUCAUAGUGAUCCGGUGGUUCUGAAUGGAAGGGCCAUCGCUCAACGGAUAAAAGGUACUCCGGGGAUAACAGGCUGAUACCGCCCAAGAGUUCAUAUCGACGGCGGUGUUUGGCACCUCGAUGUCGGCUCAUCACAUCCUGGGGCUGAAGUCGGUCCCAAGGGUAUGGCUGUUA